rnacentral:rRNA from 1 species
AUUGAACGCUGGCGGCAGGCCUAACACAUGCAAGUCGAGCGGAUGAAGGGAGCUUGCUCCUGGAUUCAGCGGCGGACGGGUGAGUAAUGCCUAGGAAUCUGCCUGGUAGUGGGGGAUAACGUCCGGAAACGGGCGCUAAUACCGCAUACGUCCUGAGGGCGUAAGUGGGGGAUCUUCGGAUCUUAGGCCAUCAGAUGAGCCUAGGUCGGAUUAGCUAGUUGGUGGGGUAAAGGCCUACCAAGGCGACGAUCCGUAACUGGUCUGAGAGGAUGAUCAGUCACACUGGAACUGAGACACGGUCCAGACUCCUACGGGAGGCAGCAGUGGGGAAUAUUGGACAAUGGGCGAAAGCCUGAUCCAGCCAUGCCGCGUGUGUGAAGAAGGUCUUCGGAUUGUAAAGCACUUUAAGUUGGGAAGAAGAGCAGUAAGUUAAUACCUUGCUGUUUUGACGUUACCAACAGAAUAAGCACCGGCUAACUUCGUG